rnacentral:rRNA from 1 species
AGAGCUUGCUCUUUCCGGAAUUGAGUGGCAAACGGGUGAGUAACACGUAAACAACCUGCCUUCAGGAUGGGGACAACAGACGGAAACGACUGCUAAUACCGAAUAAGUUCCAAGAGCCGCAUGGCCCAUGGAAGAAAAGGUGGCCUCUACCUGUAAGCUAUCGCCUGAAGAGGGGUUUGCGUCUGAUUAGCUGGUUGGAGGGGUAACGGCCCACCAAGGCGACGAUCAGUAGCCGGUCUGAGAGGAUGAACGGCCACACUGGAACUGAGACACGGUCCAGACUCCUACGGGAGGCAGCAGUGGGGAAUCUUCCGCAAUGGGCGAAAGCCUGACGGAGCAACGCCGCGUGAGUGAUGACGGCCUUCGGGUUGUAAAACUCUGUGAUCCGGGACGAAAGGGCAGAGUGCGAAGAACAAACUGCAUUGACGGUACCGGAAAAGCAAGCCACGGCUAACUACGUGCCAGCAGCCGCGGUAAUACGUAGGUGGCAAGCGUUGUCCGGAAUUAUUGGGCGUAAAGCGCGCGCAGGCGGCUUCCCAAGUCCCUCUUAAAAGUGCGGGGCUUAACCCCGUGAUGGGAAGGAAACUGGGAAGCUGGAGUAUCGGAGAGGAAAGUGGAAUUCCUAGUGUAGCGGUGAAAUGCGUAGAGAUUAGGAAGAACACCGGUGGCGAAGGCGACUUUCUGG